rnacentral:rRNA from 1 species
AUACGGAGGGGGUUAGCGUUGUUCGGAAUUACUGGGCGUAAAGCGCACGUAGGCGGAUUGGAAAGUUGGGGGUGAAAUCCCAGGGCUCAACCCUGGAACUGCCUCCAAAACUAACAGUCUUGAGUUCGAGAGAGGUGAGUGGAAUUCCAAGUGUAGAGGUGAAAUUCGUAGAUAUUUGGAGGAACACCAGUGGCGAAGGCGGCUCACUGGCUCGAUACUGACGCUGAGGUGCGAAAGCGUGGGGAGCAAACAGGAUUAGAAACCCUAGUAGUCC